rnacentral:tRNA from 1 species
GGUUCCGUGGCCGAGUGGCUAGGCAGGGGCCUGCAAAGCCCCCUACGGUGGUUCGAGUCCACCCGGAACCU